rnacentral:lncRNA from 1 species
AUAGGGAGUCUAUUAAUGUUCUGGGUUGUAAAAUCAUGAACCCAUAACAUCAAAGUGCACGAAUUUGAAGAUUUGAGCAAGUUGGAAAAACCGAAUUCUGUGAUUUUUGGGCAAAUGUCAAGACUUAUAUCUCUGUGAUUAUUUACUGUUUUUGUUGUUUAAAAGUUGUUAGGUGUAGCUUGUUAUGUGGUCUUUAAACUCCAAAAGGAAUCAGGUCUAUAUCUAUUGUAGAUCGGGAUUUAUAAGCGGUCAAAGUGGGUUGACCGGCAUUGACCGGGUGUUUUUCAAACCCAGAAAAUAUUCUAAGUGUCCAGAUAUUUUUUUUGGCAAAUGUCAGGCCUUAUAUCUCAGUCAUAUUUAAUGUGUUUUGUGUUUUAAAGGUUGAUAUAUGUAGCUUGUUAUAUGGUAUUUAACCUCCAAAAAGAAUCAGGUCCAUAUAUAUUACGGAUUAAGAGUUAUUUAAGGUCAAAGUGGGUUGACCGGCAUUGACCAGAAAAUUCUGGGAAAAUUCUGGGCAGCCCAGAAUUUUCUAAGUGUUAAUUUUUCUGACAAGGUUUGACCAUACUUUAGAUGCUUGAUUUCUUGUUUCUAUGAUGAUGUUAAGUGUUAGAGUUGUAGUCCUACAUGUUGUCUACAGACUGGAAUUGAUAGAUCACAUAAACGUUACACGAUCAUCAAGUUAUAGAGGUCCAAAGU